AUGCGUUGCAUUUGUGGAGAAAGAAAGGGGCAAUGGGAUUUGGCUUUAUCUCUUGCAGAGUUCUCCUACAAUAACUCCAAGCAUAGAUCCACAGGAAGGAGCCAUUUUUCCAUUGUCUACACUAAAGUUCCAACGCAUAUGGUGGACCUGGUGAAGCUGCCAUCAAGGGGAAACUCGAAAUCAGCAUUGUCCUUUGCUGAUAAUUACACUGAGUUAUUUGAAGAGAUUCGCGGCACUUUGGAAGCACAAAAUCAGAAACAUAAACAACUUGUUGAUUGCAAAAAGAGGCCAAAAUCAUUCCAAGUCGGUGAUAAGGUGAUGGUCUACCUCCGAAAAGAGAGGCUGCCUUUAGGUGUUAAAGGGAAACUUAGGCAGUGA
rnacentral:rRNA from 1 species